CAAUAUCUGCUUUAGAGGGGCAGACUGUCUGUGGGUCAUCUUUCAGAUUAUAUAAUUUUUCAUAAUAAUGGGCGAAUUCGUCCACUAUCCCCUGUGGGUUUAAAAUUAAGGUUCCCCCGGAACCCUUGAUGGAGGCAAUUUUGGAGUUAGCCGUCCUCUGUUUCAAUUGGGCAGCCAGCCGCGCUCCCGCUUUGUUGCCUGUAGCAAAAAAGCUGUGUUUAAACUUGCGCAUGAGGGAUGUGGUUUUGGCCAGUUCCAAAUCUCUGAGCUGCGAUUGUAAGCGCAAUAAUUUGGUAUGUGUGGCUGCUGUGGGGGUGUGUUUGUUGGUGUGAGUUAGGGAGGUUAGUUCAGAAAGUAUGGCUGUGUAAGAUUCUAGUCGCUUUUUUUUUGCGUAGCUGGCGUGCUUGAUGAAGCUGCCUCUUAUGAAAGCUUUGUGCGCCAUCCAUAUUUGGGGUAGAGGUGAGUCUGGGGUUUUGUUUUCUUUAAAAUAAAACUGUAGAUCUUGUUCUAUUUGGUUAACUAUGGCAGGGUCAGCGAGUAAUUGUUCAUUGAGUCUCCAACUGCCUCUUCCUGAGUUGGGGAAUUGUUCCCUAAGUUGUAGUGUAAUAGGGGCAUGGUCUGACCAUGUAAUAAGGCCUAUGUCUGUGCGCUCAACCUUUAUGAUGGAGGAGGUGCGGAUCAAAAACCUAUCUAUUCUCGAAUAAGUCUUAUGCGCUGCUGUGUGGCAUGUGUAGUCCCUCUCUGUGGGAUGGGUGACUCUCCAUGGGUCUACAAGAUUGUGCGGUGUUAGUUUGUUGCAUAUUAGUGUGGCUAGUUUGGACCUGCUCUUUAGUGUUUGUGCAGUCAAUUGGGGACCUCCUGAUGAGUCUAGGUCACUGUCUAGUAAGAAAUUCGUGUCACCCCCAAUGAUCACUUCCCCAAGUGCGUGAGCAGACA